rnacentral:rRNA from 1 species
AGGACGAACGCUGGCGGCGUGCCUAACACAUGUAAGUCGCACGGGACUGGAGGGCAACUUCCAGUUCAGUGGCAGACGGGUGCGUAACACGUGAGGAACCUGUCCGACGGCGGGGGAUAGCCGGCCCAACGGCCGGGUAAUACCGCAUACGAUCAUUUGGGGCAUCCCUGAAUGAAGAAAGCAGCCGCAAGGUUGCGCCGAUGGAGGGUCUCGCGGCCUAUCAGCUUGUUGGCGGGGUAAUGGCCCACAAGGCGACGACGGGUAG